GGUUAGAGUGUAGAGGUGGCAGGUAGCCUAGUGGUUAGAAUGUAGAGGUGGCAGGUAGCCUAGUGGUUAGAGUGUAGAGGAGGCAGGUAGCCUAGUGGUUAGAGCGUAGGGGAGGCAGGUAGCCUAGUGGUUAGAGUGUAGAGGAGGCAGGUAGCCUAGUGGUUAGAGUGUAGAGGUGGCAGGUAGCCUAGUGGUUAGAGUGUAGAGGAGGCAGGUAGCCUAGUGGUUAGGGCGUAGAGGAGGCAGGUAGCCUAGUGGUUAGAGUGUAGAGGAGGCAGGUAGCCUAGUGGUUAGAGU